GCCGGAUUAGCUUAAUUGGUAGAGCAAUCGCCUUGUAAGCGAUAGGUUGACGGGUUCAAAUCCUGCAUCCGGCUCCA
rnacentral:tRNA from 1 species